CCGAGUUGAUUCGAGCUCCGGCUCGACUCUCCCACCCUCUGUGUACCUUACCUCUGUUGCUUUGGCGGGCCGCGGUCCUCCGCGGCUGGCCCCCCUCGCUGGGGGCUGGCCCGCGCCCGCCAGAGGACUCCAAAACUCCAGUCAGUAAACGUCUCAGUCUGAAAAACAAGUUAAUAAACUA
rnacentral:misc_RNA from 2 species